rnacentral:rRNA from 1 species
CCUACGGGGGGCAGCAGUGGGGAAUAUUGGACAAUGGGCGAAAGCCUGAUCCAGCCAUGCCGCGUGUGUGAAGAAGGUCUUCGGAUUGUAAAGCACUUUAAGUUGGGAGGAAGGGCAGUAAGUUAAUACCUUGCUGUUUUGACGUUACCAACAGAAUAAGCACCGGCUAACUUCGUGCCAGCAGCCGCGGUAAUACGAAGGGUGCAAGCGUUAAUCGGAAUUACUGGGCGUAAAGCGCGCGUAGGUGGUUCAGCAAGUUGGAUGUGAAAGCCCCGGGCUC